rnacentral:rRNA from 1 species
AGGCUGAAACUCGCCUCUUUGAAGUCGGAAUCGCUAGUAAUCGCAGAUCAGCAUGUUGCGGUGAAUACGUUCCCGGGUCUUGUACACACCGCCCGUCAAACCAUGGGAGCCGGAAAUGCCCGAAGUCAGUGACCCAACCAAUAAGGAGGGAGCUGCCGAAGGCAGGUCUGGUGACUGGGGUGAAGUCGUAACAAGGUAAC